AGGGUCCAUAGUCCAUGCACGCAGAGAGCAAAAUACAUAUGCCAAGUUCAUCCUCACUUUGCAGUGUCUCGGACGUUAAUGAUGCAUGGGAUGGAACUAAAAUGGGUGAAAAUGGAGUCAAAUUGCAUCAAUAUUCAAGAAGGAAAGAUGAUGAAAUAACAAAUAUUUUUCACUAACUUUAUAGCGUCGUGGAGCCCUAUGGCGCUAUGCAGGACGUUAUAAGGUAGAAUGCUCCAAAUUUACAAAAAACCAGUAGAGCCAGGGCACUCCAUAUUCAGAUCAGAUCGCGCAAGGAUGUCCAUCGGCGCCACAACACCAUCCCAAUUUUAUAUAAAUAUAUAGUUGUUUUUGCCAUUAUGCAGUUGGAACUCCACGUGUUUUCUCUCAUUCGUCUUCAUAUAUAUUUUCUUUUUAUAAGUUUAUGUAUCAAAACAAUAUUCUUCAUUGAUCGACAUGUUGAUAAUGGACUAAGGUGUCGUCAUCUCUAGCUUGGGUUUUUAUGAAUUUCUUUGCAUAUUGCAUGUAUUUGUGAUAUUUCAAAUUAGAGAACUUUAUUGUUUUGUUGGUUUUA